rnacentral:SRP_RNA from 1 species
GCUGGGCGCGGUGGCUCAAGCCUGUAAUCCCAGCACUUUGGGAGGCCAAGACGGGUGGAUCACGAGGUCAGGAGAUCAAGACCAUCCUGGCUAAUACGGUGAAACCCCGUCUCUACUAAAAAAUACAAAAAACUAGCCGGGNNNNNNNNNNCCCGGCUAGUUUUUUGUAUUUUUUAGUAGAGACGGGGUUUCACCGUAUUAGCCAGGAUGGUCUUGAUCUCCUGACCUCGUGAUCCGCCCGUCUC